UCAGCGGCGGGAGCUGCCGGACCGUCCGCACCGCCGCCAACUUUGGGGAGAGCGAGCCCAGCGCGGAGCCGAAGCCGGGAGCGCCCCGCCAGAAGAAGGAGAAACUCGAGCGAUUCCGCAGCGCUGGAAGUUGCUCGCGGGUCCGGGUCGGUAACCAGACACGCGUGUCGCCCGAGGGCUGGCGGGGAGGAACUGAGCCAGACGGGGACACAAAGGAGGGGGGCAGCCCCAGACACGCCGUCCCCGCCCCGCGGCGGCAGCGCCCGGCACCGCCGAGACCCGGGCGGGGACGGCGAGGAGGGAGAGGAUGCCCCCGGUCCCCCCUUUUGUCUGGCUCCGGUGGCACCUGCGGGGGCGAGCGCUCGGCCGCCCCGCCCGCGGACCCUAUCGCGACCGGCGACGGAUUAGCGACAGUUGUGGUCGGAGAGGGGCGACACAGCCCCGGCCUCGGCGGUUUGGGUCUGUGGCCGUGCGGGGUUCGAGUCCAUGAGCCUCGUGUUAAUUAACAAAAUCAUUAAAAAUGAAAAAAAAAAACAAAACAAAACAAA